UACGUAGGGUGCAAGCGUUGUCCGGAAUUAUUGGGCGUAAAGGGCUCGUAGGCGGUCCAUCACGUCGGGAGUGAAAAGCUGGGGCUUAACCCCAGUCCUGCUUCCGAUACGGGUGGACUAGAGGUAGGCAGGGGAGAACGGAAUUCCAGGUGUAGCGGUGAAAUGCGCAGAUAUCAGGAGGAACACCAAUUGCGAAGGCAGCUCGCUGGGACGUUACUGACGCUGAGACGCGAAAGCGUGGGGAGCAAACAGG
rnacentral:rRNA from 1 species